ACUUGAAUCACAGGACUGAAUAAGGAAGAGCUGCCCUCAGCGUGGCCGGGCAACAUCUAAUCGGCUGAAAGCUUGGAUCGAAUGAAAAGGCAGAGGAAAGGUGAAUUUUCUUUUUAUCCUGGAGCUGGACACCCUGUUUCUCCUGCCUGUGGACAUCAGAAUUCUAGGCUCUGUGGCAUUUCAACUGUAAAACUUGCACUAGUAGCCAGCUGGUUUCUCAAGUCGUUGGCUUCAAAACUGAGAAGUACAGCAUUCUCUUCCCAGGUUCUGAAGACCUCAAAUGGACUGAGCCACACUACCAGCAUCCAGCAUCCAUGGUUCUCCAGUCUGCAGAUGGCCUAUUAUGGGACUUUUCAGUCUUCAUAAUUAUAUGAGAGAAAGAAAAUGAAAAGGAUUUGUAAACUAUAAAUCUCUAAACAGAUGGGAGGAAAGGAAUUGAUGAAACAAUAAAUUUAUUGAUGAAACAAUAAAAAUAAACAU
rnacentral:lncRNA from 1 species